AGCGAACGCUGGCGGCAGGCUUAACACAUGCAAGUCGAACGGAUCCUUCGGGAUCAGUGGCAGACGGGUGAGUAACACGUGGGAACGUGCCUUUUGGUUCGGAACAACUCAGGGAAACUUGAGCUAAUACCGGAUGUGCCCUUCGGGGAAGGAUUUAUCGCCAUUAGAGCGGCCCGCGUCUGAUUAGCUAGUUGGUGAGGUAAAGGCUCACCAAGGCUUCGAUCAGUAGCUGGCUGAGAGGAUGAUCAGCCACACUGGGACUGAGACACGGCCCAGACUCCUACGGGAGGCAGCAGUGGGGAAUCUUGCGCAAUGGGCGAAAGCCUGACGCAGCCAUGCCGCGUGAAUGAUGAAGGUCUUAGGAUUGUAAAAUUCUUUCAG
rnacentral:rRNA from 1 species